rnacentral:rRNA from 1 species
GGUCGGUACAAACCGUCGCAAACCCGUGAGGGGGAGCUAAUCGGUAAAAGCCGACCUCAGUUNGGAUUGGAGUCCACAACUCGACUCCAUGAAGCUGGAAUCNCUAGUAAUCGCGGAUCAGAACGCCGCGGUGAAUACGUUCCCGGGCCUUGUACACACCGCCCGUCACAUCACGAAAGUGGGCUGUACUAGAAGCCGGUGGGCUAACCGCAAGGAAGCAGCCGUCCAAGGUAUAACUCAUGAUUGGGGUGAAGUCGUAACAAGGUACC